GGAGAAUCAGUGCAAAGAUGAAGCUUCUUCUGAGCAGUCUGCUGCUGGGCUCUCUCUGUGCCUUCUCAUCUCGCAGUGCUUCAUGUACAGACAUUGUGACCCAGACCCCUGAUGUUUCUGUCACGGAGGGUGAUGCUCUAAACAUCACCUGCUGCUUCAACUCGACGUCUGAAAGAAUGAAGUUCAAAUGGCUGAAAAAUCAGAAAUUUGGAAUCAGCCCAGCGUCUUGAAUAAUCGGUCUCAAGGAUCCCAGGUGAAUCCUUCCUGUUCAACUUUGAACUUUUCCAACAUCGAAAUAGAGGAUUCAGGGUAAUACAUCUGCAAAGUGGAUGUGACCAUACCGGUUCAUGGCCAAUGGAAGGAAAUGGUACCAUCAUCACAGUUAAGCCCAAAGGAAACACGGCUACCCCUUGCAAUCGGGACACUUCAGCCCAAAGAAUAGAAUUAGAGGAAAGAGACGAAAUAACUGGCAGCAGCAAGACAAGUGGAUGAAGUCAGAUGAAGCUGCAAACUGUUGUUAACUGUAAUUCCUCGUCUUCUCCCUGUUCUACUGUCACAUAAAAAGAAACAAAUCUCUCGCUUAUUUCAUUCAAUAAUCACCAGCAACACUUGUUGAGA